rnacentral:rRNA from 1 species
CAGUCUGGCCUGCCCCCUGAUAUUUUAAAGGGCCGCGGUAUCUGAACCGUGCUAAGGUAGCAUAAUCAAUAGUCUUUUAAUUGAGGUCUAGUAUGAAUGGUCGGACAGGAGAUAAGCUGUCUUAGUUAUAUUUGUUGAAUUUUACUUUUAAGUGAAAAGGCUUAAAUUUAGUGAUGGGACGAUAAGACCCUAUAAAGCUUUGAUAUAUAAGUUUUUAGUUUUAGAAAUGUAAGGUGUUUCUGUCUAAUUAAUUUAUGUAUUUCGUUGGGGCGACGGAAAUAUAAUUUGUAACUGUUUUCUAUUAGAAAAUAAAUGUUUUUAGAGAAUCUGAUCCUUUUUAAAGAUUAUGAGAUUAAAGUUACUUUAGGGAUAACAGCGUAAUUUUUCUUGAGAGUUCUUAUCGACAGAAGUAGUUGCGACCUCGAUGUUGAAUUAAGGUGCCACCAAGGUGUAGCAGUUUUGGUAGUGGGUCUGUUCGACCCUUGAAGCCUUACGUGAUCUGAGUU